GCACAGAGCCCGACACGGAGCUCGAACUCACAAACCAUGAGAUCAUAACCUGAGCCGAAGUCGGACACUCAACCGACUGAGCCACCCAGGCACCCACAAAACCAGGACUCUUAAGAUACUUCUACUUGAAAUCAUUGCCAGUGGCCAGCCCCAUAAGAUGAACUGGGCCCAUGUAUUCCUAGAGAUUUUCUUAGCUAACACAUUCUUUAACGCUCAACUGCAGUGCCCAGAAAAGCAGAAUUUAUCAUAAAUACAUGCACUGAAAAGAAUCUCUAGAUGUUCAGCCCAAUUUGUUCUUUUAAAAAAUAUAUAAUAUGUUAAGCAAUCUAUUGGAUAAAAUAAUAUCUCUGUUGUACUAUAAAGGGGUUGUUUUUUCAAGAAAAUCAAUCAAAUGCUUUCAUAACUUGUUACUAAUAACACUAAUACAGAAUAAUGGGUAAACUAGUUUGGGUAACUUCCCAAAAUAAUUGGGUUUUCCAGGAACAUUACAGAAGAUAAACAGCAAGAUCAAUAAGUCCUGAGGUUGCAAGAGUCAUUAUUGAUUUAUGACCUUGCUUACUUCCCAGCAAAAUAAUUGCUAUAGAGAAGCUGGCUCACGUUUACAGAUCAUAAUAAUCUUAUGAGAAAGUCUUUCUUAGCCCAACGUUUAAGCACUCAAAAUAACAAGUGAUAAAAAAUAGCUUGUUAUUGUGCUAAAAUUUAUAAUUGGUAAUACCUACCAUUCCCUUUUCACCUACCUUAUGGCACAUGCUUUAAGUGAAUAUAAAUUUUUUUUUAAAUCAUCAAAACAAUUCUAUUGCAAGAGCUAUUGUUAACCUUACUUCAUAGGUCAGGAAAAUUGUACUUCAAAGAUGUCCAGUAACUCGUCCAAGGUCACAUACACCCAGAAAUUUGCAGAGCCAGGAUUCAGACUCAGUGUUCUUUUCCCAUGCUUUAGUGCUUCUUAAGAUCAUAUAGGUUUGCGUAUUUAUGACAUCAGUACAAGUUUUAUCUGACGGUGGAAUUCCCAUCACCAUUUCCAGAAUACCAACAUUCUUGGGAAGGUAUAUCUGAAGACAGACAAUAGUCAAGCAGUCAAAGACCCAUGAGAAUAGAUAAUGCAUGGCUUGAUCAGUGGAAGUGUUGAUGUUAAUAUUGAUUCAAUAUUCAAUAUUAAUUAAAUCUCUUCCUGCCCUAGGAUUUCCUUCUUUAAUUCAUUGCUUUUUGUUGUUGUUGCUGUUACGUACACCUUUGUAUGGUUAUUCUUUCUUUAGGGCCCAUGGAGUGGUGCUUAACUCAUCUCAAACAUAGACAAACCUUCUGGAAAUCGUGCUAAUGCACAGCUGAAUAAGAAGAGAUCAGAGAUAUCAAGGCCAUGGAUGGAGCUUUAGAGAAGUACUUUUCAGGGAUCACCAGUGCUCUGGUGCCAAGGAAAAGAAGACAGCAAAAAAAAGAAGAAAGAGCAAGCACCAGCUUUACGAAAUAAAUGAAGACAAUGACUGCUGAAUUUUUUUCUCGUAUGUGGACAAUGGAAUGUGAAGUCAAGAAAAUCUUUCCGAGGGGCACCUGGGUGGCUUAGUUGGUUAAGCAUACAACUCUUGAUCAUGGUCAUGAUCUCAUAGUCAUGAGCUGCCAAGACUUUGGGCUCUACACUGAGUGUGAAGCCUGCUUAACAUUCUCUCUUGCUGUCCUUCUGCCCCUGCCCCUCUCUAAAAAGAAAAUCUUCCAGAAAACGUAUCACAAAGAGGAUGGGGUGGGAUGGAAAAGGCAAGAAGGAUCUAGCAUGUAUGGCUUACAUCCAUUUGGUCAUAUGGUCCAGUUCAAAAUUCUCUACUAAGAGAGUUUCUUUUCUUUUGUUCUAGUGACUUUUACACAGACACAGAGCAAAGGGAAGUAACUGUCUUUUGAUUGGCAGGAAGAGUGACCUGUAUCUCAAAUAUCCCAAGCAGCUUCUUUUCCAGCUUCUAGUUCUAGGUGGGAACUGCUAAAUGCCAACAUUCAGCCCUGAGGUUUCUCCAAAACCUACUAUAUAUUAAUAUGUAUAUUAAUACCUAUUGUACGUUCUAAUUUUCCAUAGUAGUCUUCCAAAUACUCAAAGUUGGGGUGCCUGGGUGGCUCAGUCAGUUAAGCAUGCAACUCUUGGUUUUGGCUCAGGUCAUGAUCUGAUGGUUCAUGACUUUGAGCCCCACAUCGGGCUCUGCGCUGACAGUGUGGAGGCUGCUUGGGAUUCCCUCUUUAUCCUUCUCUCUGCCCCUCCCACUCUCUGUCCUUCUCUCAAAAUACAUAAAUAAAAGUUAAAAAAGAACAAAAACUCGAAGACAGAAGAUACUAGGCUAUGAUCAUUUUCUUUUUGAAAGUCAUAGUUUUCCAUCUUUACCCACUUACCUUGGAAGAAAUUGAAGAAUUUCUCUAAAGACUUUGAAAGCAAUACUGUGAAGGAGCAGGGGAAGUACAGGACUCUGGGGCUCAGGGGUGUUUCUAUCCCUUUUUACUUUCUUGUUUGGGUACCAGCCAAGGGUUUUGAAAAGUCUUGACAAGUUCUGUAGGAAGGCAGUGUCAUACAAUAUGCCAUGUCAGAUGGUAUGUAAACAUUUCUGUAUUCCCCAGAAAAAAAGGUGCUGCUUCUUCACUCA